rnacentral:tmRNA from 1 species
GGGGGUGUACUGGCUUCGACCUGGACGUUCAUCGUCUGGGGGAAGCGGGCCGUGAUCCCGGAUGUCACGUUAAACGCCGGACAAACACAAGCGCCAACGACAACUACGCGCUCGCUGCCUAAUACGUUAGGUAGCCGGGCCCCCUCGGAUCGCCUGCGACCGAGGGGUGCCCGUCACUCAGCAGGCUUACGACGGUAGCUCCGCCCGGGGGCGGCCGCCGGACAACGCACCCGGACUAGCCGAGAGGUCCUCCGCCAGUGGGAGCCUCGAGGCGAAACCUUUCCACUGGCUCCGCCCGGAGAAGCCCCAGUCGGUCGCCUAGGGACGGGGGUUCGAUUCCCCCCACCUCCAAGA